UACGGAGGGGGCUAGCGUUACUCGGAAUUACUGGGCGUAAAGCGUGCGUAGGUGGUUUGUUAAGUCUGUUGUGAAUGCCCCGGGCUCAACCUGGGAAUGGCAAUGGAUACUGGCAAGCUAGAGUGCGGUAGAGGGUAGUGGAAUUCCCGGUGUAGCGGUGAAAUGCGUAGAGAUCGGGAGGAACACCAGUGGCGAAGGCGGCUACCUGGACCAGCACUGACACUGAGGCACGAAAGCGUGGGGAGCAAACAGG
rnacentral:rRNA from 1 species